GGGCGGAUAGCUCAGCUGGGAGAGCACAGCCCUUACAAGGCUGGGGUCACAGGUUCGAUCCCUGUUCCGCCUACCA
rnacentral:tRNA from 8 species